CUCGUUGACGGUCUUUUUUUUUUUGGUGCUGGUCAUUGGUGUUCAAAAGUGGUGGUGGUGCUGCCCCUCUAGUUAAGAAGUAGGAAGAGAAGGGCACUGCUGCUGCCCUUGAUUGUUAAUGUGACUGAUCGAUUGGGUGAAGGAAAGUGUGGUGGUUACUGUAGGGCUGUGAUUUUGUGCUGAGGUGAAGGGUUCUAAUCACUAGGGUGAGAGAGGCUGAUUUGAGGAGAUGGAUACAGGGAAGCCGGAAGACAGUGAGCAUAGCAGUGGUGGUAACCGUGGAGAUGAUUCACUAAUUACCAAAGCUGAGCUAAGAAAUGAGAUG
rnacentral:lncRNA from 1 species